rnacentral:rRNA from 1 species
CAUCAUGCCGCGUGUGUGAAGAAGGCCUUCGGGUUGUAAAGCACUUUUGUCAGGAACGAAACGGUGGGGGCUAAUAUCUCCUGCUAAUGACGGUACCUGAAGAAUAAGCACCGGCUAACUACGUGCCAGCAGCCGCGGUAAUACGUAGGGUGCGAGCGUUAAUCGGAAUUACUGGGCGUAAAGCGUGCGCAGGCGGUUGUGCAAGACAGAUGUGAAAUCCCCGGGCUUAACCUGGGAAUUGCAUUUGUGACUGCACGGCUAGAGUGUGUCAGAGGGGGGUAGAAUUCCACGUGUAGCAGUGAAAUGCGUAGAUAUGUGGAGGAAUACCGAUGGCGAAGGCAGCCCCCUGGGAUAACACUGACGCUCAUGCACGAAAGCGUGGGGAGCAAACAGGAUUAGAUACCCUGGUAGUCCACGCCCUAAACGAUGUCUACUAGUUGUCGGGUCUUAACUGACUUGGUAACGCAGCUAACGCGUGAAGUAGACCGCCUGGGGAGUACGGUCGCAAGAUUAAAACUCAAAAGAAUUGACGGGGACCCGCACAAGCGGUGGAUGAUGUGGAUUAAUUCGAUGCAACGCGAAAAAUCUUACUACCCUUGACAUGUACGGAAACCU